CAGAGUUGCAAAACUCCCCUACACCAUUCGCGAACCCACCCCUAAACAGUUGCUUCGGCGGACGCCCCGAAGGCCCUCAGCGGCCGGAGUGGCCCGCCGGAGACCCCUCAAACUCUUGUUUUCAAACAGAAUUGGCCUCUCUGAGUUACUGUACUUUUAAUAAGUCA
rnacentral:misc_RNA from 1 species